ACCCUGGGAUGUAGGAUUACCUAGCUA
rnacentral:misc_RNA from 1 species